rnacentral:rRNA from 1 species
CUCUGGGUGACGAGCGGCGGACGGGUGAGUAAUGUCUGGGAAACUGCCUGAUGGCGGGGGAUAACUAGUGGAAACGGUAGCUAAUACCGCAUAACGUCGCAAGACCAAAGUGGGGGACCUUCGGGCCUCACGCCAUCAGAUGUGCCCAGGUGGGAUUAGCUGGUAGGUGGGGUAACGGCUCACCUAGGCGACGAUCCCUAGCUGGUCUGAGAGGAUGACCAGCCACACUGGAACUGAGACACGGUCCAGACUCCUACGGGAGGCAGCAGUGGGGAAUAUUGCACAAUGGGCGCAAGCCUGAUGCAGCCAUGCCGCGUGUGUGAAGAAGGCCUUCGGGUUGUAAAGCACUUUCAGCGAGGAGGAAGGGUAAUGUGU